rnacentral:rRNA from 1 species
UACGUAGGGGGCAAGCGUUAUCCGGAUUCACUGGGUUUAAAGGGUGCGUAGGUGGGUUGGUAAGUCAGUGGUGAAAUCUCCGGGCUUAACUCGGAAACUGCCGUUGAUACUAUCAAUCUUGAAUGUUGUGGAGGUAAGCGGAAUAUGUCAUGUAGCGGUGAAAUGCUUAGAUAUGACAUAGAACACCGAUAGCGAAGGCAGCUUGCUACACAAUAAUUGACACUGAGGCACGAAAGCGUGGGGAAUCAAACAGGAGUUAGAA